rnacentral:lncRNA from 1 species
GUGUGCCUUAAUGGAAGAAACUGGAUUCUCAUAUCAUAAAUGAUUUCAUCCAUGAUGAUUUCAAACCAGAUAGCAUCCUUCUCAACCAUGCAUUGGGACAACCAGACCUUUUAAUAUUAGACUACAUUUCUUGAAAUAAUAGUAGAUGCCAAAGCCCAGGCUUGCCUAGGUAAACAAAGCAGCCAGGAAGCUCGAACUGGGUGGAGCCCACCACAGCUCAAGGAGGCCUGCCUGCCUCUGUAGGCUCCACCUCUGGGGGCAGGGCACAGACAAACAAAAAGACAGCAGUAACCUCUACGAUCAAAUUACUCUGAGCUACGGGAGGACAUUCAAACCAAAGUCAAAGAAGUUGAAAACUUUGAAAAAAAUUUAGAAGAAUGUAUAACUAGUGGGGGCCAAUAUUCAACAUUCUUAAAGAAAAGAAUUUUCAACCCAGAAUUUCAUAUCCAGCCAAACUAAGCUUCAUAAGUGAAGGUGUAAAGACCAUCGAGACUAGGAAGAAACUGCAUCAACUAACGAGCAAAAUCACCAGCUAACAUCAUAAUGACAGGAUCAAAUUCACACAUAACAAU